rnacentral:tRNA from 1 species
GCCCGGCUGGCUCAAUCGGUGGGGCAUGCAACUCUUGAUCUCAGGGCUGUGGGUUUAAGCCCCACACUGGGUG